UGGGGAAUAUUGGACAAUGGGCGCAAGCCUGAUCCAGCCAUGCCGCGUGGAUGAUGAAGGCCCUAGGGUUGUAAAGUCCUUUCGACGGGGAAGAUAAUGACGGUACCCGUAGAAGAAGCCCCGGCUAACUUCGUGCCAGCAGCCGCGGUAAUACGAAGGGGGCUAGCGUUGCUCGGAAUUACUGGGCGUAAAGGGCUCGUAGGCGGCCAACUAAGUCAGACGUGAAAUCCCUCGGCUUAACCGGGGAACUGCGUCUGAUACUGGAUGGCUUGAGGUUGGGAGAGGGAUGCGGAAUUCCAGGUGUAGCGGUGAAAUGCGUAGAUAUCUGGAGGAACACCGGUGGCGAAGGCGACAUCCUGGACCAAUUCUGACGCUGAGGAGCGAAAGCCAGGGGAGCAAACGGGAUUAGAUACCCUUGUAGUCCCUGAGCGGGCUGGCAAGGCGCAU
rnacentral:rRNA from 1 species